rnacentral:rRNA from 1 species
GACGAACCGUGCGAACGUUAUUCGGAAUCACUGGGCUUAAAGCACGUGUAGGCGGGAGGGCACGUCCGUUGCUGAAAUCCCCCGGCUCAACCGGGGAACGGGCGCGGAUACGACUCUCCUUGAGGGGCGUAGGGGGACCUGGAACUUCCGGUGGAGCGGUGAAAUGCGUUGAGAUCGGAAGGAACGCCCGUGGCGAAAGCGAGGUCCUGGACGCCUACUGACGCUGAGACGCGAAAGCCAGGGGAGCGAACGGG